GGGUGAAUGGCGAAAUUGGUAGACGCGCUGGCCUCAAAAGCCGGUGCCCGCAAGGGCGUGUGGGUUCGAGUCCCACUUCAUCUAC
rnacentral:tRNA from 1 species